UACGGAGGAUCCGAGCGUUAUCCGGAUUUAUUGGGUUUAAAGGGUGCGCAGGCGGGAGAUUAAGUCGGCGGUGAAAUUUUGCAGCUCAACUGUAAAAGUGCCUUCGAAACUGGUUUCCUUGAGUGUAGAUGAAGUAGGCGGAAUUUGUGGUGUAGCGGUGAAAUGCAUAGAUAUCACGAGGAACUCCGAUUGCGCAAGCAGCUUACUAGGCCAUAACUGACGCUCAGGCACGAAGGCGUGGGGAUCAAACAGGAUUAGAUACCCGUGUA
rnacentral:rRNA from 1 species